CAGUAGCCACGGUAACACGGAGGGUGCAAGCGUUAAUCGGAAUUACUGGGCGUAAGGCGCACGCAGGCGGUUUGUUAAGUCAGAUGUGAAAUCCCCGAGCUUAACUUGGGAACUGCAUUUGAAACUGGCAAGCUAGAGUCUUGUAGAGGGGGGUAGAAUUCCAGGUGUAGCGGUGAAAUGCGUAGAGAUGUGGAGGAACACCGAUGGCGAAGGCGGCCCCCUGGACGAAGACUGACGCUCAGGUACGAAAGCGUGGGGAGCAAACAGGAUUAGAGACCCCUGUAGUCCCUGUCUCUUAUAC
rnacentral:rRNA from 1 species